rnacentral:rRNA from 1 species
AUACGGAGGGUGCAAGCGUUAUUCGGAAUCACUGGGCGUAAAGGACGCGUAGGCGGGUUGGCAAGUCAGAUGUGAAAUCCUACAGCUUAACUGUAGAACUGCAUUUGAAACUGCUAACCUAGAGUAUGGGAGGGGGAGAUGGAAUUAGUGGUGUAGGGGUAAAAUCCGUAGAUAUCACUAGGAAUACCGAAAGCGAAGGCGAUCUCCUGGAACAUAACUGACGCUAAGGCGUGAAAGCGUGGGGAGCAAACGGGAUUAGAAACCCCGGUAGUCC